rnacentral:lncRNA from 1 species
GGCUGCUCCCAGCUAAUUAACAGCAAUUAGUUGGGUUUUCUAAUCAGCAGCCCUGCCCUGCUCGCCGGGGCGCUCCCCAAAACGCCCCCCCCGGGACCCCAAACGGGUGCUCUGCCCCCCUGCUCCUUGCCCCUGAGCCCCCCAGCACUGGCUGUGGGCACCCCCUGUGUGGUUCCCAAGCCCUGUUUGUACAAAAACCUCCCCAUUUUUACAAAAAAAACCCUAUUUUUACAAAAAACCCUCCCCAUUUUCACGAAAAAGCUCCCCAUUUUCACAAAAAAGCUCCCCGUUUUCACGAAAACCUCCCCCGUUUUCACGAGAAAGCUCCCCCAUUUUCUCACAAAACCUUCCCUAUUUUCACAAAACCUUCCCCAUUUUCACGAAAUAAACUCCCCAUUUUCACAAAAAGCUCCCCCGUUUUCACGAAAAACCUCCCCUAUUUUCACAAAAAAAAACUAUUUUCACAAAAAGCCUCCCCAUUUUCGAAAAAAACUCCCUAUUUUCACGAAAAAGCUCCCUAUUUUCACACAAAACCUCCCUAUUUUCACAAAACCUCCCCUAUUUUCAUGAAAUAAAUUCCCUAUUUUCACGAAAUAAACUCCCUAUUUUUACAAAAAAAAAUAUAUUUUCACAAAAAACUCCCUAUUUUCACAAAAAAACACCCUAUUUUCACAAAACCUCCCAAUUUUCACGAAAAAACUCCCAAUUUUCACGACCCCCCCCCCUAAUUUCACAAAAAAACUCCCCAUUUUCACCAAAACCCCCCCCCAAUUUCCACACUUUGCCCCCCAGGAGCCCCGAGGGUGCGGGGCUGUGCUCCUUGGGUGCCCCGUGCCUCGAUUUCCCCCCGGGGUGCACUGGGGGGUGGGCUGCUUGGUGGCCCCCCCGAGGAGCCCCCAAAAUUCGGCUGGCACCGUGCCCUGGACCCCUCCAGGAGAAUCCCCCCCUGUGGGGUCUCUGGGGGCUGCGAGCUCAUAGAGAUACCCCAAAAAUGGGGAAAAAAGGGCUGGAAAGUGGUUUUAUCCCCUUGUUUGUUUUUUUUUUUUAUUCCUCGGGGUUUUAUUCCUUGGGGUCUUAUCUCCUUGGGGUUUUAUCCCCCUAGGGUUUUAUUUCUUGGGGUUUUAUCCCCCCAGGUUUUUAUUCCUCGGGGUUUUGCCCCCAGGGGUUUUAUUCCUCGGGGGUUUAUCCCCCCAAGUUUAUUCCUUGGGGUUUUUAUUCCUUGGGGUCUUAUCCCUCCAGGGUUUUAUUCCUUGGGGUUUUAUCCCCUGGGCUUUUAUUCCUUGGGGUCUUAUCCCCCUGGGGUUUUGUCCCCCAGGGGUCUUACUCCUCUGGGGUUUAUUCCUCGUGGGUUUUAUUCCCUGGGGAUUUUAUUCCUUGGGGGUUUAUUCCUUGGGGUUUUAUUCCCUGGGAUUUUAUUCCUUGGGGUUUUAUCCCCUGGUGUUUUAUCCCCCGUGUCUCCCGAGGGACCCAGCCCCAUUUUGGGGUCCGUCAGCACAGGAGGU